rnacentral:rRNA from 1 species
AUUGAACGCUGGCGGCAGGCCUAACACAUGCAAGUCGAGCGAGCGGCGGACGGUUGAGUAAUGUAUGGGGACUGCCCGAUAGAGGGGGAUAACUACUGGAAACGGUGGCUAAUACCGCAUAAUGUCGGAUAACCCAUAUGGGAUUAGCGAGUAGGUAAGGUAAUGGGCUACCUAGGAGACGAUCCCUAGCCGGUCUGAGAGGAGGAUCAGCCACACUGGGACUGAGACACGGCCCAGACGCCUACGGAGGCAGCAGUGGGGAAUAUUGCACAAUGGGCGCAAGCCUGAUGCAGCCAUGCCGCGUGUAUGAAGAAGGCCCUAGGGUUGUAAAGUACUUUCAGUCGGGAGGCGUUACCGACAGAAGAAGCACCGGCUAACUCCGGGCCAGCAGCCGCGGUAAUAC